rnacentral:rRNA from 1 species
CCAUGGCGGCCGCGGGAAUUCGAUUAACGCGUGAUAAAGGGAUUAGAUACCCCUGUAGUCGCCUCGGACGGGUGAGUAACGCGUGAUAAAGGGAUUAGAUACCCCUGUAGUCACCGGACGGGUGAGUAACGCGUGAUAAUGGGAUUAGAUACCCCAGUAGUCAUCGGACGGGUGAGUAACGCGUGAUAAAGGGAUUAGAUACCCCUGUAGUCAAAGGGAUUAGAUACCCCAGUAGUCAUCGGACGGGUGAGUAACGCGUGAUAAAGGGAUUAGAUACCCCUGUAGUCACCUCGGACGGGUGAGUAACGCGUGAGCCGGACGGGUGAGUAACGCGUG